AUUUAAAUAGCUUAUAUUAUAGAGCAUAAUAUUGAAGUUAUUAAGGAAAUAUUUAUGUAUUUUUAAAUA
rnacentral:tRNA from 2 species